UGCGUUUUUGCCCAGGCGGAGCUCGACCGCCGGCUCAAGUCCUGAAGGCAUAUGUCGACCAGUACCGGGAGGUGUAUGGGGUCGAGCCGAUCUGCAAGGUCCUGCGGAUAGCCCCG
rfam:Pandoraea thiooxydans strain DSM 25325, complete genome.